GACGAACGCUGGCGGCGUGCUUAACACAUGCAAGUCGAACGGAAAGGCCAGUGCUUGCCCUGGUACUCGAGUGGCGAACGGGUGAGUAACACGUGGGUGAUCUGCCUUGCACUCUGGGAUAAGCUUGGGAAACUGGGUCUAAUAUCGGAUAUGAACUGCCUUUCGUGUGGUGGUUGGAAAGUUUUUUCGGUGCAAGGUGGGCUGGCGGCCUAUCAGCUUGUUGGUGGGGUAAUGGCCUACCAAGGCGUCGACGGGUAGCCGGCCUGAGAGGGUGUACGGCCACAUUGGGACUGAGAUACGGAGCAGACUCCUACGGGAGGCAGCAGUGGGGAAUAUUGCACAAUGGGCGGAAGCCUGAUGCAGCGACGCCGCGUGGGGGAUGACGGCCUUCGGGUUGUAAACUCCUUUCGACAGGGACGAAGCGGAAGUGACGGUACCUGUAUAAGAAGCACCGGCUAACUACGUG
rnacentral:rRNA from 1 species